GUGGGGAAUAUUGGACAAUGGGGGGAACCCUGAUCCAGCCAUGCCGCGUGUGUGAAGAAGGCCUUUUGGUUGUAAAGCACUUUAAGCGAGGAGGAGGCUACCGAGAUUAAUACUCUUGGAUAGUGGACGUUACUCGCAGAAUAAGCACCGGCUAACUCUGUGCCAGCAGCCGCGGUAAUACAGAGGGUGCAAGCGUUAAUCGGAUUUACUGGGCGUAAAGCGCGCGUAGGUGGCCAAUUAAGUCAAAUGUGAAAUCCCCGAGCUUAACUUGGGAAUUGCAUUCGAUACUGGUUGGCUAGAGUAUGGGAGAGGAUGGUAGAAUUCCAGGUGUAGCGGUGAAAUGCGUAGAGAUCUGGAGGAAUACCGAUGGCGAAGGCAGCCAUCUGGCCUAAUACUGACACUGAGGUGCGAAAGCAUUGGGAGCAAACAGGAUUAGAAACCCGGGUAGUCC
rnacentral:rRNA from 1 species